rnacentral:rRNA from 1 species
ACGAACGCUGGCGGCGUGCCUAAUACAUGCAAGUUGAGCGCUGAAGGUUGGUACUUGUACCGACUGGAUGAGCAGCGAACGGGUGAGUAACGCGUGGGGAAUCUGCCUUUGAGCGGGGGACAACAUUUGGAAACGAAUGCUAAUACCGCAUAAAAACUUUAAACACAAGUUUUAAGUUUGAAAGAUGCAAUUGCAUCACUCAAAGAUGAUCCCGCGUUGUAUUAGCUAGUUGGUGAGGUAAAGGCUCACCAAGGCGAUGAUACAUAGCCGACCUGAGAGGGUGAUCGGCCACAUUGGGACUGUGACACGGCCCAAACUCCUACGGGAGGCAGCAGUAGGGAAUCUUCGGCAAUGGACGAAAGUCUGACCGAGCAACGCCGCGUGAGUGAAGAAGGUUGUCGGAUCGUAAAGCUCGGUUGGUAGAGAAGAACGUUGGUGAGAGUGGAAAGCUCAUCAAGUGACGGUAACUACCCAGAAAGGGACGGCUAACUACGUG